rnacentral:rRNA from 1 species
CCUACGGGAGGCAGCAGUGAGGAAUAUUGGUCAAUGGACGAGAGUCUGAACCAGCCAAGUAGCGUGAAGGAUGACUGCCCUAUGGGUUGUAAACUUCUUUUAUAAAGGAAUAAAACGAGGCACGUGUGCCUUUUUGCAUGUACUUUAUGAAUAAGGAUCGGCUAACUCCGUGCCAGCAGCCGCGGUAAUACGGAGGAUCCGAGCGUUAUCCGGAUUGAUUGGGGUUAAAGGGAGCGUAGAUGGGUUGUUAAGUCCGUUGUGAAAGUUUGCGGCUCAACCGUAAAAUUGCAAUUGAUACUGGCAGUCUUGAGUACAGUUGAGGUAGGCGGAAUUCGUGGUGUAGCGGUGAAAUGCUUAGAUAUCACGAAGAACCCCGAUUGCGAAGGCAGCUUACUAAACUGUGACUGACAUUGAUGCUCGAAAGUGUGGGUAUCAAACAGGAUUAGAUACCCUAGUAGUC